rnacentral:lncRNA from 1 species
CCCCAUCGGCAUCAUAGCUGAUAAUACAAGACAAAUCAGUAGGGAAAACAAAAUUCCACAUAUAAGUGGGUUGAGAGGUUUUGGUGUGAUAGCCAUCCUUAGCUUCUCUGAAAACACAUGCUGCACUCUCACAGCAUUAAAAACUGUAGUGCUGAGUACAUACAUGCCAAGGUGGAGCCUUUUUCGUGUUGACAAUCUCCACCAACUCGGAGCAAUCAGUCUCUAGAAUCGAUCUGUUUAUUAUGCCCUCUUUAAUUGCAAUCUGGAGUGUCCUUCCUUGACAGCUAAGGCUUCAUAUUUCAUCAGGGAGUGCUCCGCAAAAGACCUGCCACCAGCAAUAAGGCAUUCAUUGUCCAUUUAGAGUCCCUAAUAAAAAAUGCUGUUUCCCCCUGAUGCAGAGAGGGGUUAACAGAACCAUGAAUGUUAAUCUUGAUCCAGUUUGAUUCAGGUUUCAUCCAUACAACAUGUGUUUGCCUCGUCUCCAUCCUCCCUUCAGAAGAGGAUCUAUCAACAUAGGUUAAAGAAAAAGCCACUACUUUAGACAGAAGUGCUCGUACAUUAGGUUGCACACCAUUAAAUUUCACCCUGCCAAAGUAGCCACAGCCCAUUUGCUAUAAUUACAACUGCAAGGAUCGUUGGGUCAGACUCCACCUGACCGUAUCCUUCCCUACCCAACCUCCCUCCAUCCACUCCCCUCUUGUGUUGGAACUUGCAAUCUCUUAUGGACCAGUUUCCAACAUAACACCCUCAAUUUGAGAUUCAUUUGUUCAAAUUUAAUAAAUUUGUUCUUCGUACCGUAACAUUGUCCGAUAAAAGUAAUAUAUACCAAUUUGAUAAGAGAUUGAUAUGGACGGUAAAUACUAAUUUGUUGAUAUGCUCCAUCAAAUCAUGUGAUGAUAUAUCGAUACAUACCAUAUCGAUAAUUGGUUAGUAAAUCGGUAUGAACAAUAAGAUGAACCAUGUUUAUAAGAAGACUUAGUUGUUGGACUAGAAAUGUCAUUAUUGGAUGGUUUUCAAAUCAAUUUAUCAUCACAAGAUGAUUGAGACAAGGCAAUAUCACAUAUUUGAUUACAAAUGUCAUCAUCAAAAGAUUGUUUAAAACUAUUUAGGUUUUGAGCCAUUACAUUUUAAAGUUGGUUUCCGAUAUAUAGGAAUAUCAAACAAUCAACUAUAAAAAAGAACAGGGAUAGAUUUACCAUUACCUACAAUAUUAAAGAGACCCCCCUUUAGUUGAUCAAUAGCAUCAACAAGCAACUUCCAACUCCAACUAGAAACUUGGUUGCUAGAAUUAGACAAUGGUUUGAUAGCACCAUCUUUAGCAUGCACCAUGCACCACUUGAGACCAAAGAGAUUGAUCCUCAUUAAGAUAAGCCACAAUUCAUUAAACUUGGAGGGCAUACUUAGCGAGAUUUGUAAGUCUUUAAUACCAAGGCCACCUCUAUCUUUAGGAAGGAUGACUAUUGUCAUGAUCUUUUUGCCUAAGAAAUCAUUUGAUGAUUUGUUCAAUCCUAUUUAGGAUAGGUUUAGGCAUCCAAAUAACACUUAAAGAAGUGGAUUGAGAUUGAAUUAAGGACAGAAUUAAUCAAAACAAUCCUGCCAGCUUGGGAAAACAAAGAACCAUUCCAAUUACUAAGUCUCUUCUCAACCUGUUGGACAAAUAGGAUCAUGGGAUAGGAGCAACAAAAUACCCAAAUAUUUUAAAGGAAAUAAAACCUCCUUCAUGUUCAAGACAGAAGAGACAGCCCUCCUAUUUUAUCUAUUGGUAUUUCUAGGAAACAAAACAAAAGAUAAAAGGUAAGAAGACAAUGGAUCUCUUUCCGAACUGACUCUUCUACCUUCAAAGGAAUUGAAGGGGAGCUGUUAAUUAGACAUUGUAGCUAAGAGAGGAAUGACAGCUUCCACCAGAACGAUUUCUAAGGCUUCAAGCAACAUCGAACGUGGGAUGUGCGCCGCACCCUUGCGCUAAGGACAACUCCUCGAGAAAUGAUGACACCAACUAGGAGACGACGACGGAGAAUUGGACCACCACCGUCCCUGUCUCGAAACUGUGCACGUCCUCCUCUUCCUUGGACUGCUACGAGCACAGCAUUCGAAACCCCUCCUGCUUCCCGUCUUCAAGGUUUGACUUCCUCAUGCCCCCUCACGCGAUCCAAGAAACAAGACCUCACCCAACCUUGCUCCCUCAGUCCCUCCCUCCCUCCGCCCGUCACAGAACCUCUCAAGACGAGCGUCCACAGAGCUCGAUCAUCUCCGCUCGCUACCUCGAGAGAAAAGAAAAAGAAUCUUUCUUUACGUUGGAACCGCUCCAAAAUUUGGCAUUUUUUUCACCUUAGCCGAUCUCGAAAGGAACCCCUUUUCUAAACCCUAUUGUGUAUAUCCGAAGGAGAAACCCUCGCCCGACUUCUGUCACAGAAGAAGUAGGAGGCAAGUAAAGCAGAGAGGCAACUCACCCGUGGUCGAGGCGGGAGAAGGGAAGGAGGGGGCCGAGAAUGGAGCGAUCCGGCAGCGCGGGGUCGGCGGUGGUGGCGAUCGAGUGCGUCGC